GCCUCGGACCGGUACCGGUCCGUGAGUCGUUUGGUACCGGGCCGCGAGAGUUGAGGCUCGGGUGUGAAAUGUAUGGCUUUCAGGGGUUUUUUUAUUUUUUUUUAUCGGUUUUUAGCGUUUACUGUGUUUCCCACUGAUAAAGACCUCCUCCAUUAACAUCCACGAAGUAAAAAUUUUCUUUCAUGGAAACCCUGCAAAGUAAACUUGAGACCUACUAUUAUUGGUCCCAGUGUGUGGCUCUCUGAAACCGAGGUCUACAGAGGUCUAUGUGAUGGCUGCUGGCGAGGGUGUGCAAGGAUACGGCAAACCUUGCUUUCCCCAUUUGUUCCUUUCAAUCUUUUAUCAUUCACCACAAAGGCGAAACAUCAAAUAAUGCAUCAAAGAAUAUCAUUUAAAGGCUUCCCUGUUCUCCAGUGACGGUGACCACCAUCUUUCGGGAAGGUUUCCUUCUCUAACAUCCAGC
ensembl:lncRNA